UAUUCAGCCUUCUGGGCGUGCGAUUGGGGUUUGGGCAUUUCCGCAAGGUGUGCCGGGUCCUAUUGUCGUGCGUUCGGUUGGUGCAUUUGCGUACGGAGUGCGCCGGGUUGUGUGGUGUUGUCGGACGAUGCGUGUUUAGAGGACCCGGGCUUCGGCGCUGGGAACCCUGGGCGUGCGGAGUUCGGUUGGCGCUGCGCAGCUUUGUGGAGACGUGGGUUUUUCGCGUGCUGCGGUGUCGGCAGGCUCGGUUUGGGUGGUACACAUGUGUGCAGCCCUUAUCGGGUGGGUCGGUGUUGUGGUGUGCUCUACGUUCUUCCCGGUGUUCAGUCGGUGACCCAUUCGACCCGUCUUGAAACACGGACCAAGGAGUUUAUGGUAUGCGCAAGUCAUUGGGUUUGUCGAAGCCUAAAGGCGUAAUGAAAGUGAGACAUUACUUGUCUGAACGUGACUGGGUGCGGCACUCGUGCGGCCCAAGCAACGUUGCCCCGUUUCGAGGACUUGUCCUGAUGCGGAGGUUGAGCGUAUGCUAUGAGACCCGAAAGAUGGUGAACUAUGCCUGGAAGCAGGA
rnacentral:rRNA from 1 species